rnacentral:rRNA from 1 species
GAUGAACGCUGGCGGCGUGCCUAAUACAUGCAAGUCGAGCGAACGGACGAGAAGCUUGCUUCUCUGAUGUUAGAGGCGGACGGGAGAGUAACACGUGGAUAACCUACCUAUAAGACUGGGAUAACUUCGGGAAACCGGAGCUAAUACCGGAUAAUAUUUUGAACCGCAUGGUUCAAAAGUGAAAGACGGUCUUGCUGUCACUUAUAGAUGGAUCCGCGCUGCAUUAGCUAGUUGGUAAGGUAACGGCUUACCAAGGCAACGAUGCAUAGCCGACCUGAGAGGGUGAUCGGCCACACUGGAACUGAGACACGGUCCAGACUCCUACGGGAGGCAGCAGUAGGGAAUCUUCCGCAAUGGGCGAAAGCCUGACGGAGCAACGCCGCGUGAGUGAUGAAGGUCUUCGGAUCGUAAAACUCUGUUAUUAGGGAAGAACAUAUGUGUAAGUAACUGUGCACAUCUUGACGGUACCUAAUCAGAAAGCCACGGCUAACUACGUG